rnacentral:rRNA from 1 species
UACGUAGGGUGCAAGCGUUUGUCCGGAAUUAUUGGGCGUAAAGAGCUCGUAGGCGGUCUGUCGCGUCGGCUGUGAAAUCCCGGGGCUCAACCCCGGGCCUGCAGUCGAUACGGGCAGACUAGAGUGCGGUAGGGGAGACUGGAAUUCCUGGUGUAGCGGUGAAAUGCGCAGAUAUCAGGAGGAACACCGGUGGCGAAGGCGGGUCUCUGGGCCGUAACUGACGCUGAGGAGCGAAAGCGUGGGGAGCAAACAGG